rnacentral:rRNA from 1 species
GUAGGGCCAAGCGUUAUCCGGAUUUAUUGGGGCGUAAAGAGCUCGUAGGCGGCUUGGCAAGUCGGUCGUGAAAGUCCGAGGCUCAACCUCGGGAAUGCCGGGUCGAAACUGCCAUGGCUAGGGUUCGGUAGAGGAGAGUGGAAUUCUCGGUGUAGCGGUGAAAUGCGCAGAUAUCGAGAGGAACACCAGUAGCGAAGGCGGCUCUCUGGGCCGAUACCGACGCUGAGGAGCGAAAGCGUGGGGAGCAAACAGGAUUAGAUACCCUGGUAGUCCACGCCGUAAACGGUGAUCACUAGGUGUGGCGGACUCAUUGACGUCUGCUGUGCCGGCGCUAACGCAUUAAGUGAUCCGCCUGGGGAGUACGGCCGCAAGGCUA